rnacentral:guide_RNA from 1 species
AAACAAACAACACAAGAUGAGAUACAAAUGGAUGUACAAUGAUAU